rnacentral:rRNA from 1 species
GACGAACGCUGGCGGCGUGCCUAAUACAUGCAAGUCGAACGGUGAGGCGCCUUCCUUUUUGGUGGGUGUGUAUGAGUGGCGAACGGGUGAGUAACACGUUAGUAACCUGCUCCCUCUUUCUGGAUAACCGCAUGACGGAGCGGCUAAUACGUGAUAUUCUGGAUCUCUUGCAUCAUGGGUCUGGGAAAGUUUUUGUUUCGGUGGGGGAUGGGCUCGCGCUGCAUUAGCUUGUUGGUGGGGUGAUGGCCUACCAAGGCGGUGACGGGUAGCCGGCCUGAGAGGGUGGACGGUAACAGAGGGAAUGAGACGCGGCGAAGACUCCUAGGGGAGGCAGCAGUGAGUAAUAUUGCACAAUGGGCGGAAUGAUGAUGCAGCGACGCCGCGUGAGGGAUGGAGGCCUGCGCGUUGUGAACUGCUUUCGCGAGUGAAGCAGGGCUGCCUCGUUUGUGGGUGGGUUGACGGUAGCUGGAUAAGAAGCGCCGGCUAACUACGUG